rnacentral:rRNA from 1 species
AUUGAACGCUGGCGACAUGCCUUACACAUGCAAGUCGAACGGUAACAGGUCUUCGGAUGCUGACGAGUGGCGAACGGGUGAGUAAUACAUCGGAACGUGCCUAGUAGUGGGGGAUAACUACUCGAAAGAGUGGCUAAUACCGCAUGAGAUCUACGGAUGAAAGCAGGGGAUCGCGAGACCUCGUGCUACUAGAGCGGCCGAUGGCAGAUUAGGUAGGUGGUAGGUUAAAAGCUUACCAAGCCGACGAUCUGUAGCUGGUCGGAGAGCACGAUCGACUACACUGGUGCUGUGCGACGGCCAAGACUCCUACGGGAGUCGUCAGUGGGGGAUUGUUGACAAUGUGCGAAAGCCUGAUCCAGCAAUGCCGCGUGCAGGAUGAAGGCCUUCGGGUUGUAAACUGCUUUUGGACGGAACGAAAAGCCCCGGGUUAAUACCCUGUGGUCAUGACGGUACCGUAAGAAUAAGCACCGGCUAACUACGUGCCAGCCGCCGCAGUAA